CCUACGGGUGGCAGCAGUCGAGAAUCAUUCACAAUGGGGGAAACCCUGAUGGUGCGACGCCGCGUGGGGGAAUGAAGGUCUUCGGAUUGUAAACUCCUGUCAUGUGGGAGCAAAUUAAAAAGAUAGUACCACAAGAGGAAGAGACGGCUAACUCUGUGCCAGCAGCCGCGGUAAUACAGAGGUCUCAAGCGUUGUUCGGAAUCACUGGGCGUAAAGCGUGCGAAGGCUGUUUCGUAAGUCGCGUGUGAAAGGGGCGGGCUCAACCCGCGGACGGCACAUGAUACUGCGAGACUAGAGUAAUGGAGGGGGAACCGGAAUUCUCGGUGUAGCAGUGAAAUGCGUAGAUAUCGAGAGGAACACUCGAGGCGAAGGCAGGUUCCUGGACAUUAACUGACGCUGAGGCACGAAGGCCAGGGGAGCGAAAGGGAUUAGAUACCCCGGUAGUC
rnacentral:rRNA from 1 species